GAUGAACGCUGGCGGCGUGCUUAACACAUGCAAGUCGAACGAUUAAGCCCAGCUUGCUGGGUGGAUUAGUGGCGAACGGGUGAGUAACACGUGAGUAACCUGCCCUUGACUCUGGGUUAAGCCUGGGAAACUGGGUCUAAUACUGGAUAUGACUUCUCAUCGCAUGGUGGGGGGUGGGAAGCUUUCUUGGUCUUGGAUGGACUCGCGGCCUAUCAGCUUGUUGGUGAGGUAAUGGCUCACCAAGGCGACGACGGGUAGCCGCCCUGAGAGGGUGACAGGCCACACAGGGACUGGGAAACGGCCCAGACGGCAACGGGAGGCAAGAGUGGGGAAUAGUGCAAAACGGGCGCAAGCCUGAUGCAGCGACGCCGCGUGGGGGAUGACGGCAUUCGGGUUGUAAACGUCUUUCAGUAGGGAAGAAGCGAGAGUACCGGUACAUGAAGAAGAAGCGCCGCCAAACUACGU
rnacentral:rRNA from 1 species